rnacentral:lncRNA from 1 species
CCCACAUUUCUUGAUAAAACAAACUCUAAAUUUAAAUGAAGAACUGUAUAAAUCUGCAUAAUGAAAGUUUGCAAAUUUAUAAACCUGGUAGCCACUACCACAGGCAAUGAUUUAUGAACAAACUUUAUCAUAUAAUGUUGAUUUCCAACAAUACUUCCCGCUAUGAUAAUCAAUACAAUAUGUGAUAGCUACCUAAAGGUUUAUCUAUUUAUACUACUUUCUCUUGUUUCUCAAUAUGUUUAACAUGAGUAACAGGCAUACUGUGGAUUCAUUAUUAUUUAUUAGAUCCAUUUUUUGAUGAUUUUUUGGGUAAAGGUUAUAAACCACAAAUCAAAACAUUCAACACAGUAUGGAUUUU